rnacentral:rRNA from 1 species
CAGCAGCCGCGGUAAUACGAAGGGUGCAAGCGUUAAUCGGAAUUACUGGGCGUAAAGCGCACGUAGGCGGACUUUUAAGUCAGGGGUGAAAUCCCGGGGCUCAACCCCGGAACUGCCUUUGAUACUGGAAGUCUUGAGUAUGGUAGAGGUGAGUGGAAUUCCGAGUGUAGAGGUGAAAUUCGUAGAUAUUCGGAGGAACACCAGUGGCGAAGGCGGCUCACUGGACCAUUACUGACGCUGAGGUGCGAAAGCGUGGGGAGCAAACAGGAUUAGAUACCCGUGUAGUCCCUGUCUCUUAUAC